GACGAACGCUGGCGGCGUGCUUAACACAUGCAAGUCGAACGAUGAAGCCUUUCGGGGUGGAUUAGUGGCGAACGGGUGAGUAACACGUGGGCAAUCUGCCCUGUACUUUGGGAUAAGCCUUGGAAACGGGGUCGUAAUACCGGAUAUCACUUACCUCCGCAUGGGGGUUUGGUUGAAAGUUACUGGCGGUACAGGAUGAGCCCGCCGGCCUAUCAGCCUGUUGGUGGGGUA
rnacentral:rRNA from 1 species